rnacentral:rRNA from 1 species
GCAAGUCGAGCGCCCACUUCGGUGGGAGCGGCGAACGGGUUAGUAACGCGUGGGAAUAUACCCUUCUCUACGGAAUAGCCUCGGGAAACUGAGAGUAAUACCGUAUACGCCCUCCGGGGGAAAGAUUUAUCGGUGAAGGAUUAGCCCGCGUUAGAUUAGAUAGUUGGUGGGGUAAUGGCCUACCAAGUCUACGAUCUAUAGCUGGUUUGAGAGGAUGAUC